rnacentral:rRNA from 1 species
AGUGAACGCUGGCGGUAGGCCUAACACAUGCAAGUCGAACGGCAGCACAGUAAGAGCUUGCUCUUACGGGUGGCGAGUGGCGGACGGGUGAGGAAUACAUCGGAAUCUACUUUUUCGUGGGGGAUAACGUAGGGAAACUUACGCUAAUACCGCAUACGACCUACGGGUGAAAGCAGGGGAUCUUCGGACCUUGCGCGAUUGAAUGAGCCGAUGUCGGAUUAGCUAGUUGGCGGGGUAAAGGCCCACCAAGGCGACGAUCCGUAGCUGGUCUGAGAGGAUGAUCAGCCCAACUGGAACUGAGACACGGUCCAGACUCCUACGGGAGGCAGCAGUGGGGAAUAUUGGACAAUGGGCGCAAGCCUGAUCCAGCCAUACCGCGUGGGUGAAGAAGGCCUUCGGGUUGUAAAGCCCUUUUGUUGGGAAAGAAAAGCAGCAGGUUAAUACCCCGCUGUUCUGACGGUACCCAAAGAAUAAGCACCGGCUAACUUCGUG